UGGACAUAUUAUUGUAUUCGAUUGUAUUCACGGCGUGAAACAUGGGAUUACACUAUUUCUAAACGGAAAGUGAAUUAAUUAACAUAAUAGACUCCU
rnacentral:pre_miRNA from 1 species